rnacentral:rRNA from 1 species
UACGUAGGGGGCGAGCGUUGUCCGGAUUUAUUGGGCGUAAAGAGCUCGUAGGCGGUGUGUCGCGUCGGCCGUGAAAACCUGCAGCUUAACUGUGGGCGUGCGGUCGAUACGGGCAUCACUGGAGUUUGGCAGGGGAGACUGGAAUUCCUGGUGUAGCGGUGAAAUGCGCAGAUAUCAGGAGGAACACCGGUGGCGAAGGCGGGUCUCUGGGCCGAUACUGACGCUGAGGAGCGAAAGCGUGGGGAGCGAACAGG